GCCGGCCUUUCCGACGUCAUUGUGGUCACCAAUCUCGGACAGUAUUGGGAUAUGGAAGCAGGCACGUUGAAAGCCUUGGCGGCCAAAGUGGUCAAAGAUUUCAAGGCUCCAGCUGGCAUGAACGGAGAGGAGUUGUCUAAGGUGAACCAGCUGGUGUGUGGCUUCACGAAAGAGCAGGCCGACAGCAUAACAACAGAGGCAUUUAGUUCCGCGGUGGUGACUCUUCGCCAGCUGGAGGACUGCCCUGACGAGGUCAUAAGAGCCCUGGCGGC